AUGCCCCCGAAGAAGCACCUGCACUUGUCGUCAGCUGGUCCCAACCAGGAAGACCACGUGGAGGAAGCUGCUCCAGGUGUCUCUACCUCUGGCACGGAAGGCAUGCUUGAUUCCGAGGAGGAGGUUGGCGACAGCAGCAGCAGUGGCGAGGACAACAAAGACGACGGUCGCAGCCAUUUGUCGCAGAUUGACGGUGCCGACAUGGACGACCCAUCCAAAGUGCACAUCUUUGUCAAGAAUCCCGCCGGCAGGAAAAUCUGUCUCAGGGGGGUCCACUUGUCAGACACCCUUUACACCAUCAAGGCAAAGAUCCAGGAGCGGUACCGCCUCAUCUUCGACGGGGUGCAGCUGGAAGACAACCGUACAUUGGCGGAUUACGGCAUCCAGCAUGAUUCCACGCUUGACCUCCAAGAAAAGAUGCAAAUCUUUGUGACAGAGACACUAGAAGGCAGGACCAUCACUCUCGAGGUCGACAGCCUAGACACCAUUGACAAUGUGAAGGCUAAGAUCGAAGACAUUGAGGGCUUUCCCAAGGUCCAGCAGUGCCUCAUCUUUGCUAACAAACAGCUGGAGGACGGCAAACUCACCUUGGCUGACCACAACAUUUGUAAAGGGUCCACUCUUCUCCUCACACUCCUCCCAUGCAGUCCAACUGUUGAGAUGAAAAUAUAUGUGAAGAUACUGCCAGGAAACACCAUCACCCUUGAGGUUGGGCGCUCGGACACUGUUGGCAGUGUGAAGGUGAAGCUCUACGAGCUGGACGGUAUGCCCCCUAGACAGCAACGCCUCAUCUUUGCUCGCAAGCAGCUUGAGGACCACCGCACCCUGGCGGACUACAACGUUCAGAAAGAAGCUACCUUUCAUCUGGUGGGACGUCUUUGUGGCUGUUGA
rnacentral:rRNA from 1 species